rnacentral:rRNA from 1 species
GACGACGCGUGGCGGCGUGGAUUAGGCAUGCAAGUCGAACGGUAUCAUCCUUUCGGGGGUGAGAGAGUGGCGAACUGGUGAGUAACACGUAGGUUAUCUACCCUCAAGACGGGGACAACCCAGGGAAACUUGGGCUAAUACCGGAUGUGAGCAACUUUUAGUUGUUUGAAAGGUGGCGUAAGCUGUCGCUUGGGGAUGAGCCUGCGUCCUAUUAGUUAGUUGGUGAGGUAACGGCUCACCUAGGCAAUGAUAGGUAGGCGGCCUUAACGGGUGGUCGCCCACACUGGGAUUGAGAUACGGCCCAGACUCCUACGGGAGGCAGCAGUCGAGAAUAGUCUACAAUGGUCGGAAGACUGAUAGUGCGACGCCGCGUGAACGAUGAAUCCCUUCGGGGUGUAAAGUUCUUUUAUAUGUGAGCAGUGCUUCUUAUAUUAACAGUAUGGGGAGAGAGAUAUUAGCAUAUGAAUAAGCAACGGCUAACUCCGUG